rnacentral:lncRNA from 1 species
AACGCUAAUUCAGCAUCUGAUAAUGGCAAUGGAAACAACGGUGGUAAUGGGGGAAACAAUGGAUCCAAUAAUAAUGCACAAGCAGAUUCAGCAGCAGAUUCCACAACUGGAGUUAGGGAUUCAGGCUCUGGUUCUGGUUCAGGUUCAUCAUCUGAAGCAGGCGAUAACGGUGACAGUACAGGAGAUUCAAGUGCAGCAGCAUCCGCAGCCGCAGCAGCAGCAGCAGCAGCAGGAAACGCGAAUGGUGCAGAUGAUAGUACUGGGGAUGCUUUAGGUCUUGUUUCAUCAGCAACAGCAACAGCCAAGGCAGCAGCAGAUUCAGCUAAAAACUUAUUAUCCGGUACAGAUACAGAUAGUUUCGCAUCAACAUCAGCUUUAUCCGAUGCCUUUUCAUCAUCUGGAGGUUCAUCAUCGUCUGGAGGUUCAUCAUCUUCAGGAGGUUCAUCAUCAUCUGGAGGUUCAUCAUCUUCUUCAGGAGGCUCAUCAUCUUCAGGAGAUUCAUCAUCAUCUGGAG